AAAGCAGGGAUUGUGUGUAUUGACAUUGUGCUAAUUUGUCAUUGCACUUUGCUCGAAAGAGUUCUCUGCAAUAUAUAUAUAUUUUUUUUUUGGGAAGAUGGGCAGUUGUUAUUUCAUUAUCUUGUUGAAAACCUUCAACAAUCAUCUUUCCAACAUUU